ensembl:lncRNA
AUGGAUGUAGAAACACGUCACCACUUAAUAAGCGCACAGUCUUUCGUUGUGUUUUGGGGACAGUGUGGCGUCAGGCGUAUGUGCCCCUGCCGGUCUACUUUGGCCCCUGUGUGGCCUCAACGCCUCUGCGGGUUUGUGUGCGAGCAGCGCCGCCUGCUGGCUGAAGGAAGAGCUGCAGCGGUGACACGACGCUCCGUCUCCCCCGAGCAACGACAGGACAACAGAGUGUUUGGAUCAGGCGCAGGACCCGACAGAACCCAGAGAAGUGGUUUGACCGGACGGAGACCUUCAUGGUGGAAAGGUUGUAUCAUUUGACAGAGAAGAAAAACAUUUGAGUCUUGCAAAUUCAGUGGGCAGCUUCUGCUAUUGUGUCGCUUUUUGCUCCGGCAUCGCCCAGCAUCCUUACUCUUCUCUACGGUUCUCUGUGUGCUGCUGGUUCAGUGUUUGAACUUUUUGGAAGGGCGUAAAUGCGAAAUGAAUUAGGUCUGUGCAUGACUGAAACCUGCAUGACUCUCAGACCUCCUACAACUCAUCAAAGGGUUCCGCAUGAAGUGAGCGAUGCCUGUCACAGGAUGCCUUAAUAACUCUGUGCAUGGAUGAAUAACACACACACAUAUAUGCACACACACACACACAAACAGAUACAUACAAAGCUAUCGGCUGAGCAGCUGAGUGGGUGUCUUGAUUCCUAGACAGACACACUCAUGCACUUUUAAUGGGAUACCGCUCUAAAACGAUGGGAUUCCUCCAGCAAGCUCGACCCUCCUGAACCAAGUGUGUAUGGGAGUGAGUGCUUAACCGUGUGCGUGUGUGUGUGUGUGUGUGUGUGUGUGUGUGUGUGUGUGUGUGUGUGUUUGUGUGUGUGUGUGUGCAGGAGGUGUGGAAAAGGGUCAUCCACUGGCCCAGGGGUGCGAUUUCAGCUUGCCGGAGGGAGGGUAAGUGAAUGGUCCCAAGACCCCGAAAGACCCUAAGGCUUGAAAUCAAACCUCAACACACAAUCCACACUGAUAGCAGAGUACGACAUGCACAUUCAAUUACACUGAGCUGCUACUGCACCGUGCAGAAUGUUUUUUUUUAAUAAACCGUGUUGGAAUAAAUAUGCAUUUUUAGCCGUUUCACAUUUAUUUAGCGUUGGAGUUUCACCACGUGGCUCCUUAUUGAAUGAAAUGAAAUCCUUGGUUUUAUACACUGUAUAACACCAUCACAUAUUCAGUAUGCUCUGCUUCAGCUUGCUCUAACACUUCACAUUGAUUAUAUGUGAUUUCAUACCAAUUGAUAGACAAAGAUGUCUUGUGCAUAUUUGCAUUAUAAUUGCCCCUAAAGAAGUUCUCACGCACCACUGAUCAGCGGGAGGUUGAGCCAUUACAAAAGUUUCUGCUGCUGUGGACAACGUCCAAAUCUAAAUAACUCAAAUAUCCAGAAAAAAAAACAUCUGGCUGAAAUUUUGGUAAAUUUCUAGACAAUUCCGCGCAUUGUAGCACUGACGUUACACAUGAGCUUCAUCAGAAGAUGGAGUUGCUAAAUAAAAAUGAAGAUUAGGGGGUUAGGAGGUUUACCAAAAUAUAUCAUAAUGCCUUGAAUAGCCGGUUCCUUGACUGAAGAACAUAUUUAAUCCUUCCUUUAAUACAUAUAAAUAUUGACAUAUUCGAUUUCCAAUUUAUUUUAUAAUGAUUGGAUAGUUUUUUCUGUAGAUCUAACAAUCAAGCGUUUUCAGGGCUUGUGUUCAUUAUCAAGCAGUCUAUUAUUACAUGUUUAUUUAAGUAAUCAAUCAGUUUUAACAUGUGCAUGAAAUACCUAGAAACAGUUGAAUUAUAGAUAUAUUGAGGUCAUGGGUCUGACUUCACCCCCCCGUCCCUCCCUCCUUCCCCACCUAAUUACAUUCUGUGCAGUUUUUGUAGUAUCAUGCAAAAGCAGCGUUCAGUCAAUCAUUUCAGUCUAAAUCAACUGUCAAAAAUAAUGUCAAUUCAUUUUUCAGUUUGUAAUCAUAUACGCAGAUUGGAAGGGUUGAGAAGGGUUCGAUGUGUUCAUUUACGCUCUCUAUUUGGUUGACAUUUUUUUGCAUUACUAUUCAGAUUCCGUACUGAUUUUUUCAGGUUCGAAAUUCCAAUUUUUCACAUCUAGUGUUCUGAAGCAGAAAAAGUUGCAUUCUGUUUGCCAGUGUGUUUGUGCGUUAUUUUGAUUUUGUGAAAUACUUUGGGGGAAGUAGAUUGAAUAAAAAAUGAAAUGAUAAAGCAUCUGUUCCAUAUUUAUUACAUGGAAAGCACUUAAAGGCUGAACACAGAAAAUCUGUGCGUGUGUGUCGGCCGUUGCGUUACAUGUCUGAGCAUGCAGCGGCAGUGUACCAAAUGUUUGUGGUUUUUGCUUUUGCUUUAUUUAUUUAUUCAUUUAUUUAUUUGUUCUCUGGUGAGCGGGAUUACCUCUGAAUUAUGGAGCAGUCCCCUUUCUCUCCUUAAGUAAAAAAUAACAUCUGUCCAGCAAAUGGAGAGCUUAGUGUUUUUCUAUAAUUAAUGGUAAAAGCCUCCAGAGCCGCCCAUAAAAUAUACAUCCUCCACGCAGGACCCCCAUGACAAAGAGAGCGAGAGAAUGCAGUGAGCGAGAGAGAGAGAGAGAGAGAGGGAAGGCAGCUGGUCAGUGAGUGGAAAUGAAGAAAGAACAGAAGCAGAGAGUAGAUAAAAGAGAGGGAGUGUCUAGAGACAUGCUCAUUGUCACAUGCAAACCGGCCGAAUGCAUUCCGCAAAAUAACAAAAUGAAUUCACAGUCCCGCAGUUGUUUCAAAUAAAUUUUGUAUUGCUUAUUUCUAGGUACAAUUGUCGAUUCUCUUUUUGUUUUAUUUCAUUUUUAAAGUCAAAUUUAAAGUCAAAUUCUUAAAAAAUAUAUAUUUUCAGCAAUUUCAGAUACUGAGACUGAUAAAGUCGGAGACCUUAAUGUCUAAAAGAGUUCAAAUCAAUCCGAGGAACCGAGUGGAUCAUUUUAAUUAGUGAGAUUUGUUAUUCAUUCACGCAAGAUUUCAGUGAAGAUGUUUGUUGUUUUAACGGAUACAACAGGAAAGUUACCACUUUUACUUCUCUCAAUGUAACUAUCCAAGUGUUUAUAGAAAUGUGCACUCUGUAGGGAGCAGAUCUCUGCCAAGUCAGUCUGGGGGCGCGUGAACAAGAAGUGCAGGACAGGGUGUAUGGUCGUGGAAUAAAAGAGACACAAUAAACAGGUAAUAGGACAGCAGUUUCCAUUAGCACACCGUUAGAACCGUUAACAGGGAUCAAUUCGCUGAGAUAUACAGUAUGUAUACUAUACAUACUAUAUGUAACCCUAUAUAUUCAUUUCUGUUGAUCACUUUUGGGGCCAUGGGAGCUGGUUACGAUAAGUUAGGAUUCAGCAGUCAAUGAGGAUGGGAAAAAAAUAAUGUUUUUUUUUUAAUUGUAAAUCACCCAAACCAUGAGAUGUCAUUGAGCACAUGCACAGCCAUCGUGAGCACAAACAAAUAAAGCAAAUGGGGCCAGUAGUGUGGAGAAGAAUUUACGCUGGACAAACUAACAAAUGAUCGAUGAAUUGGUACACCAACCUAAAUGUGGUAACACUGAGCCGAAACCACCACCUCUAGUAAACACUGUACGCUGUUAACACCCUUUUUCACAAGCAUGUCAACGUGUAUCCACACAAUUUCGAAAAGAAAAAAAAAACAUACAUCUAACAAAAAAAAACUAACAUCAGUGGAAGUAGAAACUUAUACUGAUCCUACUUUGAAAAACAAAACAAUACAAAAAUACUAACCCAAACACAAAAAGAAACCGUUUUGAACCACAUCCAACAAUGUUAUCAGUGUUGAGGAAUUGAACAGCUGCUACGUUUGCACAUAUAAACACAUAUAAACACAUACACACCAGCCACCAUCUUCUGCUAGGACCCAGAUGUACCCGGAACAGCUCCCAGCGGCUUCAUUUAUUGAUUAGUGAUUGAAAAUGAUUGCAGAAAGUAAACACAGAAGCACUCAGACAGUCAUCACGGAAACACACAAGUCAUAAAAUGUACAGCUAGUGUGUUAGUGCACAUACAUGCACACACACACACACACACACACACACACACACACACACACACACACAGACAGAGGUAAAGAUGAUCAGUAAGGGCCUCUGGAGAGUUUGAGCGGAUUGUUUACCGUAGUCUACUUAUCUUCUCAUUUAUGUAUUUGUCGAUCUGAGCUGUGUUUGUGGAGGUAGAUCACUGCAGUGAUUCAGAAGCUUCCCUCCACGUGUAGAUGGUCCUCAAUGAAGAGACACAGUGACCUCCAGUGGUCUCAACAUAUUAGGACAACUUUCAAUCAGCUGCAGCAAAUUUGAAAUUGCUCAUUUGCUUUUAUAUACUUUAGUGAGACAUAUUCCAAGAAACGAAAGAAAAGUGUCAAAUAUGUGAGAGAAACACUGAAAGUAUGUGACACGUGUUGUUUGAGUGCCUUUGUUAUAUAAAUACUAAAUAAGGGAAGACGGUACACUUACUAUCUUAUCAGAACCCUUCAGCCCUUCAUAGACCAACUACGUUUUGGUUUUCGUUAGAAAAAAUAAAAAUUCCAGCUUCACAAUACUAACAUAUUAAGGUGAUUUGUCGCUUUGGUCGGAACCAAUGUUUGAAAGCCGU